UACCAGCACCCCGAGUGGUCGGGACGAUUAUUGGGCCUAAAGCAUCCGUAGCCGGUUUUACAAGUCCUCCGUUAAAUCCAGCUGCUUAACAGAUGGGCUGCGGAGGAUACUAUAAGACUAGGAGGCAGGAGAGGCAAGCGGUACUCAGUGGGUAGGGGUAAAAUCCGUUGAUCCAUUGAAGACCACCAGUGGCGAAGGCGGCUUGCCAGAAUGCGCUCGACGGUGAGGGAUGAAAGCGGGGGGGGCAAACCGG
rnacentral:rRNA from 1 species